rnacentral:rRNA from 1 species
UUGACCUCAAAUCAGGUAGGAUUACCCGCUGAACUUAAGCAUAUCAAUAAGCGGAGGAAAAGAAACUAACAAGGAUUCCCCUAGUAACUGCGAGUGAAGCGGGAAAAGCUCAAAUUUAAAAUCUGGCGGUCUUCGACUGUCCGAGUUGUAAUCUAGAGAAGUGUUACCUGUGCUGGACCGUGUACAAGUCUCCUGGAAUGGAGCAUCAUAGAGGGUGAGAAUCCCGUCUUUGACAUGGACUGCCUGUACAUUAUGGUGCGCUCUCGAAGAGUCGAGUUGUUUGGGAAUGCAGCUCAAAAUGGGUGGUAAAUGCCAUCUAAAGCUAAAUAUUGGCGAGAGACCGAUAGCGAACAAGUACCGUGAGGGAAAGAUGAAAAGAACUUUGGAAAGAGAGUUAAACAGUACGUGAAAUUGCUGAAAGGGAAACGCU